rnacentral:rRNA from 1 species
UACGGAGGAUGCAAGCGUUAUCCGGAUUUAUUGGGUUUAAAGGGUGCGCAGGUUGUUUGAUAAGUCAGUGGUGAAAGUCUGUCGCUUAACGGUAGGAUUGCCAUUGAUACUGUUGGACUUGAAUAUGGAUGAGGUAGGCGGAAUGUGUAGUGUAGCGGUGAAAUGCAUAGAUAUUACACAGAACACCGAUUGCGAAGGCAGCUUGCUGGGCCAUUACUGACGCUGAUGCACGAAAGCGUGGGGAUCGAAUA